UCACCUUGCUGUGGGUUUAGGACCUACCCAACGGCCCCCUGACCUCACUGUGGGUCUGGGGCCACCUCAAGGACCCAUGUUGCCUUUCUGUGGGUCUAGGGCCAGCCCAAGGCCCCACCUCACCUUUCUGUAGGUCUAGGACCACCCCAAGGCCCCACCUCACUUUUCUAUGGGUCUGGGGCCACCCCAAGGAAUAAUCUCACCUCAUCAUGGGUCUGGAACCACCCCAAGGACCCGUGUUGCCUUGCUGUGGGUCUGGGGCCACCCCAAGGACCCAUGUCACCUUUCUGUGGGUCUGGGAUCACCUCAAGGAGCCAUGUCGCCUUUCUGUAGGUCUAGGACCUACCCCGACAGCCCCACCUCACCUUGCUGUGGGUCUGGGGCCACCCCAAGGACCCAUCCUACCUUUCUAUGCAUCUAGGACCAGCCUCAGGCCUCACCUCACCUCACCGUGGAUCUAGGACCACCCCAACGCCCCACUUCACGUCCCCAUGGAUCUGGGGCCACCCUAAGGACCCACCUCACCUUGCUGUGGGGUUUGAACCACCCCAAGGUCCCACCCCACCUUUCUAUGGGUCUGGAACCACCCCAAGGACCUGUGUUGCCUUUCUGUGGGUCUAGGACCUACUCCAAAGCCCCACCUCACCUUUCUGUAGGUCUAGGACCACCCCAAGGACCCAUCUCAUCUUUCUAUGGGGCUGGGAUCACCCCAAGGACCUGUGUUGCCUUUCUGUGGGUCUAGGACCUACCCCAAGACCCCACCUCACCUCACUGUGGGUCUGGGACCAGCCCAAGGCCCCACCUCACCUCACUGUGGGUCUGGGACCACCCUAAGGACCUACCUCACCUCACCGUGGGGCUGAGGCCGUGUCUCACCCCACUGCCUCCCCAGGACCAACCUGCCCAAGGAGGUGAUGGCCUUCCCCGACUUCCCCUUCGAUGCGGACCUGCCCUCCUUCCUGCCCCACAGUGACGUGUUGGCUUACCUGGAGCGCUACGCCGCUGCCUCCGGUGUCCUCCCACACAUCCGCGUGAGCUGCCCCCUGCCCCAUGGCGCGGCCCCUUGCCCCACGGCCCAAUCCCACUCACCUC
rnacentral:lncRNA from 1 species